UUGUUUAUAAUCUUGGCGAAUGCCCAUCAGCUAAGGUUUUGGGAGAAUUCCCCAACAAAGGGUUUUGAACAUUGACCCACUCUCUUUCAGGGAAUUGCUCAUCAUUGAUUCUGCUCAUGGCUUUGGAUCCUGGCAAAUGGCACAGAGCUUUGCACAUUUUCACAUCUGUCGCAGUGAUAAAUACCCAUACGUAACAACGAUUCAAGAAAAAGAAGCUAUGGACUUGAAUGAGAGCGUGGAGGAACCAUGGAGCUGAAGAGAGCGAAACUGAACAAACCCAUCCCGCACCCCCAAAGGUGAGUUAAGAAUUAUGAAUUUAAGAAGGAGUUGCAUGACUUUUGUUGGAAGUUCGUUUUCAAUCAAGCUCAUGUUUUGGGGGAAGAGAUUACGUGACCACGUGACCACGCGACCAUGUGACCACGUGACCGUAUUCAGGCAGGCAUCUCAGUAAGAGGACGUGGCUUUGGGACUGACCUGAGCCUGAACAACCGGGAGGAGGGAAAGGCUCUGGUGCUGUGGGUACUAGUUUUCGGGGCUUGAACACUUUACAAGUAGAAUGCAUAUUGUGCUCGCCUUAAGCAAAUAAAUAAACAGACUUAAUUAAGGGGGUGUGCUAUCAUGGUUUUGUAGGAAUCUAGCCACAUGUACACUGUGCCGUAGGAAAUACCACCCUGGUGCCUCCUACCCCAUUUCCUGGAGCUUGAAAGUGAUAAGUAGUUUUGAUUUUGUGAUGAAUAGGAUUAUAUGUGUAUCCUAAAGGAUAAAGGAGUUGCUUUCAUUUCUAUGUAUAGAAGUGAGGAUGACAAGGAGCCAUAUGCCACUCCGAGGCAGCCAGGCAGCCACAGAAUCUGUCCUUCAUCUACUUGCAAGGUCAUUUCUGGGGGUGAAAAACCAGAGUCAGCUCGACCAGGACCAAUGUUUGCUGACCUAUGUUCUGGAGAUGAAGACAUAAAUAAGACAUAGCCUCCAUCCUGCUCGACUGCAAUAGACCGGAAGAGAAGAUGUGGGCAGAUGCACCACCACAGACUUUGAGAUGUUUGAAGCACAUUAACAGAGAAACAUUCCAGUCAUCCUGGGGCAUAACCAGCAUUCUUAAGGUAAAGUGGCCUUUGCUUGUGAACCUCCAGUAAAGGUGUGGGUUUUAAGGAUUGGUAGAAAGGAGACAGAGAUUUGGGACACAGGGGCCAGCCAUGAAGUAAAGUAGGGGUUGAGCGAGGGACUAAGCUACAAGGUCCUGUGAUGUACGAUGAAGGAGGCCAGUUUGCGAUUAGAUUGUGGCAUUUGGAAGGCUGGGCUAAGAUGCUCUUACAGGCUUUGGAAGGGAGGAGAACACCAUAGAAAUGUGUAAAUAGACAGAUACUAUGAGGAACUUGAGGAUGGUUGAGGAUAGGGAUACUUAGAGACUAGGAGGUGAUUAGGGAAUAUGGCCCUGCUCAGUAGGGGUGGCGAUAAGGAGCCUGGAGAGAAGAGUUUGCAACUUUAACCGUUGGAUAUUGAGAUGGUAAUAGCAUUAACAGAAGCUCAGAGGAGUUUCGAGUGGAGGUCAGAAGGCAGGUUCAUACUUAGGUAUUUUAAGAGGCUGCUGGGAUAAUUCACCAAUGGUGUGGGUAGCUGUUUGGAAAUCCAGGUGGAAGGUGUUUUGGGCACUGGGGCCAAAGGGAUGAUUUUAAAGGGUCAAACAGACACAUGAUGUCUGAUGAAGCUAUAAAAAUGGACAGCCUCACCGGUGGGAGAAAGAAAGAGGGGAAUGGGAACCUUAAUGAUUUGGAAGGACGUUUGUUUAUGUAUAGCAAGGAGAAUCAGAUACCCAGCACCCCUCAGAAAUAAUGUGAGUUCAGUUGAACCCUAGGAGGAAGGAAUUUCAAGGCCAAGCUAGAAUUCAAGCAGAGGAUGAUGAGAUGGUUGGAGGAGGACAGGAGCAGGCUGCAGCAUCUAGCUUUCAGAAGGGCGUGGUCUCUUCACUGCAGUCACAGGCAGAAUGGAGACUAGGUGACCUCUGACUCUAGCAGGGUGUGGAGGGUAAAGCUCACUCAGUGCUGCCCUUCCAAUUUUGAGUUCUGACCUUGUGCCAGCCUAGUGAUAGCUGGUCUAGUCCUGUCUAGGAUGGGCUGCCACAGCCCAGCUCCCUGUCAGCUACGUCAUCAGAAGGACAAACAAUUAAGAUGCUACGAUGGGCUCUGCUGUGAAGCGAUGGCUAUUGGGAGGUCAACUGUAGGGCAUGGACUUUCAGCCUACGCUUUCAAUUCAGGGUGGGUUUAUGAUGGCGUGUCCUCCUAAGUCCAGGGCUCUCUCUCUAAGCUGCUUAGUAGUGGAUUGGAAGAAGCAAGUGAAAAUGUAGGUGCAGGGUACUAUUCCUUCAUAGUGAAUAAAGUCGCUGAGAUCAGUCUAGAAAGGGUGUGUGUAUAAGAUUGCAUAGAGUGCUACAAACAUUCUUGGAUUUUCCAACCCAUUGUGUGUGUGCCUUUAUUAACCAUUUUUUUUCUUGCUUCUAUGAGCUUGAAUCUCACAUUCCCCUUGACUCAAAUGCUUCGAUAGAAUUCCAUGAUAGAGAAGCCAUUUUUUUCAGCAGGACAGCUCACGUGCUGGCCACGGACAUCUCACUUAUAUAGACACCAACACAUUGUCUUUUUGCCCUUUAUCUGUGGAAUAAGGCCAUGGCGAAGCUGGAAUUUGACAGUGCACAUAAAUACUGAUUGUGAACAGGAAGGCACAGCCUUACCUUCUACAAAGAGAGUGCGAGUUGGCCAGCUACAGAUCAGAUCUCACACUUCUUUGUCUCUCCAAAGCCUUGCAUGGACAAAGGGAACAGCCUUCUUGUUCAAAGGGAAGUCUCUACCCUCCUGGCAUCCCUGGUAUAGAGAUGAUAGAAAAAUCUAAUUAAACUUUAAAGGAAAAGGAAAAAAGAAGACAAAAGAUGACAGUGGAGUCAAGUGAACCAAGCAUCUGUGCCAUCUUCACAUGACAAAUUGUCCUAUCAUAUUUCUACUCAGAAUGAAGUAAGUGACUGCUUCCAUAUAUAUUUGGCCUAGGAAAUACAACAGAUAUUCUGAUGAAUGUAUUCUUAAAUAUUUGUUCACAAGAAUCCAAAGAGAAGUGGUUAAUACUCUCUGGUGCUAAUCUUUCAUUUUAAUCCUUUGAGACAUUUUUAUUUCACAUCUCUGUUUUAAGCCGGAGGACCCGUGUCACGAUUGCCCUUGUUGAAGGCUCUUGAAACAGGGGUUCCCUUUGCACAGCAAAGAGCGGAUGAAGUUCUAAGCAUUGUCUCAGAUGUUAGGCAAUCAGGUGGGGGCAAAAGUGACAUCGCAGCAGAAAUUUCACUGCUCUCUCUGAUGAGUGCAGACAUCAAAACGAAACGAAGGGAGGCCAAACACCAAAUAAAGCAGUCAUAUCUUUAGCAGUAGUCCCAAGGGGGGGAAAAAUAAGUUUUGCUCAUGUAUAGUUUCCACAGCCUCAGAAAGUCAGCGCCUGAGGUUUUUCAAUCCCCUUGCUCCUUCUGCGUGAGGGCAAUUAUCUUGAGAUGGAUUUUAUAGCAAAUGUUAGGCUCAAAACUGAGAGUAAUUCAUGAGAAUGCAUUUAUUCAGUGACUCGUUAAACUACAUUCACAUUUCCGCUAAGUUAUACAGCUUGGGCUUUCUAUGUGAACUGCUUGGCACAUGUAUAUGUGUAUUUAUCUGCUGGGAGAUAUGUAUAUUGAAUUCUUAUGUGACUUUGGUCUCUUUCCUUUAAAAUGUCAGCCUAACUUGGCCAUUUGUUACCUCAGUAUAAUUUCUUUCCUUCACAUUUUUCCCCUUACCCGCCUACAGGCAGGGAAAUUUUUCCUUUCAGAGCCCACGUUUGCCUAAAUGGGCUCUUGUGCUUUGCAGAGCAUGGUGUACAGCCAUUCGUGAUCCCCGUGGCCACCUGUCUUCCAGUCUCAUGGUUUCCGUAUCAUUCUACGUGCCGUGCAUAUUUACAAUUGUAUCUUUUCAUGUUGUGGUGUUAAAUCUGCAUGUGUGGUGUGAACGGUGCCUGCUGAAGAGGGGACUGUAGCUUCCCGGAACUGGAGCUACAGAUGGUUGGGAGCUGCCAUUUGUAUGCUGGAAAUCAAACCUGAGUCCUCUGGGAAAGUAGCCGGUGCUCCCAACCACUGAGCCACCUCUCCAGCCCUUCUAAUGUAUUCUUAUAUUAACUGCCCCAACACGGACUCUCUUUGAUUGUAGUUAUUGUAGUAUUGGGUAAGUAGCUUCUCUCUGUUGUAGGCGGAAUUGUUUUUCCAGGAAAGAUAUAGUUCUGUGAAUGUAUAAUAAGGUCUCCGUAGCUACAAGUGGAGGUGAGGUCACCCUGACUUAGGGUCACCUGCAAGUGUUAAGUGAUUUGUCUGCAAUUGCUGCUUAUGCGUGAAGGAGCAGACAGUUGUUACAUGUCUCUGUUUGUUUCCGUGCAAAGGCAGCCUGGCUCAGGAGAAUGACCAUUGGCCUUGGAGUCAUGGAGACUUAGUGAACUCCAUUUACAGAUCAUUUCUUAGGGGUUUUUCUUAACUUUUCUAGACUUCAGUUUCCAUAAUGAUCAAGCGAGGAUAUGCAUGCACAUCUCUGGGCGCUUGUGAGGGAGAACAGAAUGUCACCUGUGUCCCCAGAGGAACUGGCAAAAGGAAUGGCUGCCUUGUGCACUUCCUUUUUACUUCCUCUCUCGGCUUCUGCAGCCAGUGAAAUGUCUGUGUUGGAGCACUGCCUUUGGUCACAUGGUGUGAGGAUUGUUGCUGGUGCUGCUGGUGUCUCAUAAGGGACGAUGAGGACCUAGGAUGGAGGACACCCUUGGGCCGAUGGAUACCAAAUAGCCUUUCACUGUGGCAGUGAGACUCAAAGAGCAGUGUGUGACAAGGCUGCCUUUGCCAUCUGCAGGGGCGGUUUGGGAUGUGGGUUUCUAUCCCUCCUCCAUGUUUGCAAUCAGUACUCAACUCUCCCAGGUGCAGUGAAGCAAGAGCCCC